CUCUUGCACUCUGGUAACGCGUUGAUGCUUGAGAAAUGGGCCUUGGAGGGGAUGGGGUGAGAGGUGUGUGUCUGACUCGAGUUUUUGCCUUGCUGUGCUUUUACAGUAGAAUAUAAGUUCUGCAUGUGAAGUAUUUAAGUAAUGUCUUGUUUUUGUGUCGUUACUGGCAUUCUGUAUGACCAUGUCUUGAAGUGAAAUCGUGGAGAAAAGCAUCGUCUGCCAAGCUGUAGAGACGGUGUUAAUAGCACAUAACGUGUGACAUGACGAAGAGUUGUAGAGAGCUCUCACAGCACUGGUGUUCUUUUCAGUAAGGCUGCAGGCUGUGGGCAGAAAGAUGAGAGAAAUAAGCACCUGCCUUGAAUUUUCAUACAGCUAUGGAAUGAAGGGGCAUUUCAUAGCAAAUGGAUGAAGUGUCUGGGUUCUCAGUUCCUAUGUAGUUAUGAUGGCAGUGCAGUGUUUGGGAAGCGUGCAGCCAGCUGACUUGUUCUUCUCGUUCUGGGUUUUGUCGCACGGCGGUCGUGUUUUGCAGACGUGGACUACAUCUGAUGACUGACUUGUGGAUAGAAACGUGUAUGCUGUGCUCAUUACCUUUGUAUUAUCAGCAGUCUUCAUUAGGAGGAGGUCUUGUGAAGGAAACUAGCUUGGUUGUGUGUUGGUCACUGUCAGUGACUGGCUCUGCAGCUCCUGCAGCCCACCCAGCGUGCCUUUUGCAGCUGAGCUUGUUGUCAAGGUGUGCAAAAAGAGCCAAGUUGGGUGCUAAGGCAUAAAUGCAGCUGCAUGUUUCAACUGGGGCCUUGUGCUGCAUCUCGCUGUUGAUAAUAAAUAUUUAAAGCUGGGCCUAAGGCAGUACAAGACUGUGCUGCUUCUCCUUUAGCACGCUAAGGUUACUGCUGUAGGUCACCAAGGGCAAUAUCAGGAUGAAGCUUUGCUUUAGCAAGCUGUGGAGGAGGCGUGACGUACGUAAAGCUAGGUUUACUUAUGCUGCUGUGUUCUAAAGGAAUAAUCUUGUACUCAUGCGAAUGCUGUGGUGUAUUACAGCUUGCUCUGCAAUGCAAGCUUUUCUGUUCUACUGGUACUAUUCCAAAGCAAGCAUGCUUUUCACUUUCAGUUUGGAGGAGAGGAAUUACUGCAGCUGUUUGUACUUCUAGGCUUUGAGUUUUCUUUUUGUGAUAAG